AGUCGGCGUAAGGGUGGUUUAGAUUAAGCUUAAAAUUAAAGCCGAACGCCUUCCGGGCUGUCAUACGCAUCCGAAGGUAAGAAGUUCAACUACGAAAGUAGCUUUAUAUUUUCUGACCCCACGAAAGCUAAGAUA
rnacentral:rRNA from 1 species